UACGAAGGGAGCUAGCGUUGUUCGGAAUUACUGGGCGUAAAGGGCGCGUAGGCGGCUUAGCUAGUUGGAUGUGAAAGCCCAGGGCUCAACCCUGGAAUAGCAUUCAAUACUGCUUUGCUUGAAUUCGGUAGAGGUUGGUAGAAUUCCCAGUGUAGAGGUGAAAUUCGUAGAUAUUCGGAAGAACACCAGUGGCGAAGGCGACUCACUGGACACAUAUUGACGCUGAGGUGCGAAAGCGUGGGGAGCAAACAGG
rnacentral:rRNA from 1 species